ensembl:snRNA U6 U6 spliceosomal RNA
GUGCUCACUUCUACAGCCCCUAUGCCGAAAUUGGAACAAUGCAGAGAUUAGCAUGCCCCCUGUGCAAGAUGACAAGCAAAUCUGUGAAGAGUUACAUUAAAGA